AUUGAACGCUGGCGGCAUGCCUUACACAUGCAAGUCGAACGGCAGCACGGGAGCAAUCCUGGUGGCGAGUGGCGAACGGGUGAGUAAUAUAUCGGAACGUGCCCAGUCGUGGGGGAUAACGCAGCGAAAGCUGUGCUAAUACCGCAUACGAUCUAUGGAUGAAAGCGGGGGACUCGCAAGGGCCUCGCGCGAUUGGAGCGGCCGAUAUCAGAUUAGGUAGUUGGUGGGGUAAAGGCUCACCAAGCCGACGAUCUGUAGCUGGUCUGAGAGGACGACCAGCCACACUGGAACUGAGACACGGUCCAGACUCCUACGGGAGGCAGCAGUGGGGAAUUUUGGACAAUGGGCGCAAGCCUGAUCCAGCAAUGCCGCGUGCAGGAUGAAGGCCUUCGGGUUGUAAACUGCUUUUGUACGGAACGAAAAGGCUCUGGUUAAUACCUGGGGCACAUGACGGUACCGUAAGAAUAAGCACCGGCUAACUACGUG
rnacentral:rRNA from 1 species